GGGCUACUGAAUGCUUAUUGCACCACAUGUGUUUUUCUUUGAAACAAACUUGCUUUGGCGGUGGGCCCAGCCUGCCGCCAGAGGUCUAAACUUACAACCAAUUUUUUAUCAACUUGUCACACCAGAUUAUUACUAAUAGUCAAAACUUUCAACAACGGAUCUCUUGGUUCUCGCAUCGAUGAAGAACGCAGCGAAAUGCGAUACGUAAUAUGAAUUGCAGAUAUUCGUGAAUCAUCGAAUCUUUGAACGCACAUUGCGCCCUCUGGUAUUCCGGAGGGCAUGCCUGUUUGAGCGUCGUUUCUCCCUCAAACCGCUGGGUUUGGUGUUGAGCAAUACGACUUGGGUUUGCUUGAAAGACGGUAGUGGUAAGGCGGGAUCGCUUUGACAAUGGCUUAGGUCUAACCAAAAACAUUGCUUGCGGCGGCAACGUCUACCACGUAUAUCUUCAAACUUUGACCUCAAAUCAGGUAGGACUACCCGCUGAACUUAAGCAUAUCAAAAGGCGGAGGAA
rnacentral:rRNA from 1 species